rnacentral:rRNA from 1 species
CGGUAGCACAGAGAGCUUGCUCUCGGGUGACGAGUGGCGGACGGGUGAGUAAUGUCUGGGAAACUGCCCGAUGGAGGGGGAUAACUACUGGAAACGGUAGCUAAUACCGCAUAAUGUCGCAAGACCAAAGAGGGGGACCUUCGGGCCUCUUGCCAUCGGAUGUGCCCAGAUGGGAUUAGCUGGUAGGUGGGGUAACGGCUCACCUAGGCGACGAUCCCUAGCUGGUCUGAGAGGAUGACCAGCCACACUGGAACUGAGACACGGUCCAGACUCCUACGGGAGGCAGCAGUGGGGAAUAUUGCACAAUGGGCGCAAGCCUGAUGCAGCCAUGCCGCGUGUAUGAAGAAGGCCUUCGGGUUGUAAAGUACUUUCAGCGAGGAGGAAGGCGUUGUGGUUAAUAACCACAGCGAUUGACGUUACUCGCAGAAGAAGCACCGGCUAACUCCGUGCCAGCAGCCGCGGUAAUACGGAGGGUGCAAGCGUUAAUCGGAAUUACUGGGCGUAAAGCGCACGCAGGCGGUCUGUCAAGUCGGAUGUGAAAUCCCCGGGCUCAACCUGGGAACUGCAUCCGAAACUGGCAGGCUAGAGUCUUGUAGAGGGGGGUAGAAUUCCAGGUGUAGCG